UCAUGAGCAAGCGCAUACACGCACACGCGUACGCGGACAGAGCUGCUUGGAAAAGCGUAACCCCGUCGACUCCUCUACGCCCCGCCGCCGCGGGACAGCCGGCCGACUGCUGGACUAGGAACGCGAAGAAGAGGGAAAUCCGCGGCCUGGUCGCACUCCCAAGCGCCCAUCACCGACCGCGCAGACACACUCACAGACGCAGUCGACAGUCAGGCAGGCACAGAGAUCGCCGUACAUAUCUCCUUAAAGAGGUCAUCCUGAAACGGGUGCACCGACACGCACUUAACACAUACGCGCAUACACUUGACCCCGGGGGCGCCGCCUCCAGCGACCGUAGACGAUGUCCUCCCGAAUGUACGCGCGGCUCUCUCAGCGUCCCUCGUCGUCGGCGUCGUCGAGCCUGGUGCGCCGCGUGUGGCACGUGCCACUCGGGGCCGUCAGAAUCACUGAUGGCGCCGAAGCAGCAGCCGUGGUAACAAGGACAGCUUCUUCUGCGCCGAUCCUCACACCUGCGCGGGCGUGCACUCAUGUUGGCGCGCUGACUAUUUCAGGUGUGAUACUAGCGGCGUCUGCGAAGAAGACAAGGCGCCAGGUCGUCUCCGCCGCUGAUGACGGUGUACCUGCAGCGACGGCGAAAAAGCCGAAGAAGCAGCGAGCAACGCGGCAGCAGGCCGCGGCACCGCUACCUGCAAGCGCUCCAGUUGAGCGCGCCGUGCACCUCAGCGAUGCUGUGCAGGAGUGGGCGACGCUCCGGCGCCGCUGCCAGCGACAGCGGCGCCACCUAGUCGCCGGUGGAGCGUCCUCACCCUCGGCAAAUGUGGCAGCGUCGGAGCGCAGCACGAUGGCGGGUAACGCCGUAGGCGCAAGCCGUGAGGGUAACACGGCCUCCACCGGAGGCGGCGGCGGUGGCGCGCCGCCGGCGGAGAUAAGCGUGGCUGAACGCACGCAGCUGUUAUCCGUCCUCGCGAACGAGCCGAGCGCGUAUCCGCAGCUGUACACCAUGUUUUACCCACGAGGGCACGCGAACGUCGACGGCGAUCUGCGCGGCAGCCUCGCCUCGCCCACAGCGGUAGGGAAGACGCGGUGGCGCGUAGAGGGCACGCCGGCUUUGGUGCGCAGCGAGGCCGUAGCGAUGGAGCUGUUCACGCUGCUGCACGUUCACCACCAGGUUGUGUGCCAUUCGGACGAUGUUGCCGAGCUCAACGAGGCAGCAUGGUCCUCAUACCUGUCGGCGCUGCAGGCGCGACUUGAAGCCGAUAUGGGGCAGCCGGUGCGGCAGCAGUGCGCUUCCGUGGCGCUCGUCUUGCGGACACUCAUGGACGUGCACCGAGGUCAGAUGGACAGGCGGACGACCAUCGCGCUGAGCCAGCGCCUGAGCAGGGAGCAACAGGUUCAGAGCCGUGAAGAAAUCGCCCUCCGCAGGCGCGUGCUCGAGGCGCUCACACGGCUGAUGGCACCGGCGCACGCACUCGUCCGACAGCUUGAGGAGGCGGCGAGAAGUGAGACGGGAAAGUCGUCAUUGCCGUCCUCCGUGGAAAGCACGUAUGGCGACGCAACCACCUUGCUCCUGAUGGCUGCUGUCAGUGCGGUGGCCGUGGAGGCCGCCUCUGCGCUAUCGCACUCAAAGCCGGUGGCGGCAUCUGUCGGAGUCUCUCCCAUCGACGCGGUCCUCGUGGACGAGUGGACAACGUGGCGCGACAACGCGCGUAGCCGACUGGCGUCGCACCUUCAAGCGCUCGAGGCGUCCGUCCACAAAAGCGGUCUUGAUGUGGUAGCGGCGGUGUUUGUGGACAUCCUGCGCUGCAUGCGGUGGAUCGAGGAGCUCGGCGUGGUCCUCCUACCGGCAAUGGGAAGUGCAGUUGAGGAAGCGUGCCAGCGAAUCCUGCUUCAGGCAUGUCGAUGCGCGGAGACCGUCAAGGGCGCAGACCUCUUCGAGUACAUCUGCACGCCAGCGGUGACGGCGGAGCUGCGCCGACUCUCACCGGAGCGCACAAGCUACGCGCAGAUCAUUACGGACGUGUGCACCGUUGCCGUCGCCUACCUCCGGCAGCGACCGCAGCGUGUGCCGCAGUUGAUGGAACAUCUGGAAAAGGAGCACAUCGAUGCGCUGGCGAAGGCUGGUGCCCCUCGCGCACCACCUGCGCGCCCGCCGCUGCACAGCCCGCUGACGGAGCUGCUGUACGCGAUGCUGUGCGCGGGCUUCCCACCAGAGUCGCUGCUCACCAGCAGUCUCUGCGUCUCCCUGCCGCCGCGCGAUGUCAUUGACGUGGUGCGGGCGGUGAACCGCUUCUCCGCAUUGUGCGCCACGACCCCUCUGCCAGUCCGCACGCGCGCGGUGCUCGUGGAUCAAGUGGCAGGGAUGCUGGCGCAGUGCAACAAGGACAGCUACCGCGUCGUCGUCAGCUCCACAGACGAGCUUGGGGAAGAGGACGUUGCAGCGCAGGAGGAAGCAGGGGUGAUCGCCGCUGCGGCAGCAGGAAAGGGCGGCGGGCAUAAAGGCGCUGCUGCCAGCACCUUCAACUUGAUGCAGCGCAUGGCGGCGGGUGCGGCUGGCGCGGCAGCGCUGCCUGGCGCGUCUGUUGUGUUGUCUUCGACCGCGAUGCUGAGCUCGCAGUCGCAGGCGGUUGCAGCGGCCCGGAAGCGCCGUGUGAGGAACAGCAGCAAACGCGGCAAGCGGCGAACUGCCUCGGACGCCACCGAAGGCGACGGAAUGGCUGCGGCCGCCUCGGCGAUACUUACCCCAGCGUUGUACCGGCGACAGGUGAACCAUCUCCUCUUCGUUGGUCUGGAGGCGCUUGUCGAGUGUCUUCUCCGUGGCGACGCCGCGGCUGUCGAGAUGCUGACGCAGGCGGUGCUGCCGCUGCUGCAGCGUGAAGGGCGGGAGGCGGCGCUGGCCGAUGCGCUCGAGGUCGUCUGGGAGGCCUUCCGCUCUCGGCUGGCGGAAAUGGGCUGCGACGACGUGAGUGACCUCACCAGUGGCAGCCUGCGCAGUCCCGCCUCGGCAGCCGCUGCUGCCGGGAGGAGCGGCCGAUCCCCUGCACUCCCCGUAGCCCUGUCGGAAGACGUCGAGAAGGCGCUGGCGCUGUUGCCGGCGCUCUUCCUGCCACGCCUCACGGAGUCGGCGGUGAAGUUGCUGGGGUCAGGUCUGGAGCGUGCUGGCUCUGGAAGCGGUGCCGGCACGAGCAAGGCAACUGGAUUUCUUAGCCACGGCACUGUCGGGUGUCAUCAUCACUCGUUCACCGCCGCGGCGGUACCGAUGUCGGUGGAGGAGCUGACAGAGGUGGCGCUGCGGCUGAGCACGGCAGCCAUUCUGUGCGGCAUGCCAGCCGACACCGUCGCCCAGCUCACAGCCUUACACAGUACUCUGAAUAAGUCGCACGGCAAGGCUGCUGGGGACGGUGGUCAGGGCGACGCAGCAGGCGCGGUCGCGUGGGCGUUUGCGGUCGUGGAGCGGCUGGAGCGACUGCUAUCGCAGCUGUCGCGGCAGUCGCACGGCUUGACGCGGCAUCCGCACUCCGCCCACGCGCGCAACAGCGGCCUCGCCGUUUAUCAGCUGCUGACCAUCUACAUCGCCUCCACCGCCGCCGUCGCGAACAGCAUGACCCAGUCGAGUAAAUCCUCCGCCGCGUCCGCCAGCACAACUCGGCAGCGGUAUCGACACUACCUGCUGACGGUGGUGCACCUGCUGUACCGCCUGCGCACCGAGUACACGGUGGUAGUGGAGCCGGCCGCGCUGCGCAUGUUCCGCAUAGACGUAUUUGACCCCGCGCUGACAGCCGUCAUGUGCGCCGCGUCCCGCGGUGCCGAUGCGACGCCAGCGCUGCAGAUGCCACUCACAACGCUGACCGAGGUGAUGGUGGUCACGUGCGUUGCGGACAGCGUCCAGCACGUCUCUCCUGCCUUGGUGCGUGGCGUGGUGGCGGCGGUGGAGCAGCACCUGAAGGUGCGGGCCACGGACCUGCAGACGCCUGAGGAGGUCCCCCGCGCGGAGUCGACUGCGAAUACCGCCGAUGUUGUCGACACCGCAACUGGUGCGUUGGCGACGCAGCUGCUCUGUGCUGCUGCCACGCUGUGCCUCCGCGCUGAUGACGCGCUCACGUCGAUGCUGCUACAGCUGCUGGACCUGCUGAGUCCGCUGCUUGCCACAUCGCAGGCCAUGACGGUGCUGCAGCGCCUGCACGCGACUGGCGCACCGCUGCCAGCGCUUCCGGUGCGGCGACUCAUCGAGCGCCUUGUUGUAGCUCUACGCCAGGACUUGCAUGCAGCGACGGAGUCCGGCGGCGGCGCAGCAACCGCAACACGGCGUGCGACGACGGUGGCACAGCGCAUCACCAUCCUACACACCCUCAGCGCCGUGCAGAGAACCGCUGAGGCGGCUGUCGACGACGGCGACGCGGCGACGCUCCUGCAGCUACUGCGCACUGUCCCGUACGGGCCACUGCUCCAGUCCUUCUUGAAGCCGCAGGAGCUCGCGCAGCGUCGCUACACGGUGGGCGAGUGUGGCGCGCUCGUCGAGGUCGUCGCACACCUCACUGCUGGCGAAGCUGGCACGGCCAAGGGCAGCGGCUCACAGCGUAGCCAGACCGGAGGGGUUGAUGUAGCGGCGACGGAGGCGAAGGCCGUGGCCUUGGACGAGGCGCGGCAGUCGCAGCAGUCUACACCGAGAGAAGCAAAGGCGGAGCCCACAGCCUCGGCGACAGCGCGCUGGACGGCGUCGGAGGCGGAGGCGAUGCGGCUGCUGCCGCGAACCCUCGCCGUCUACGUACUGCAGGCAGUGCAGCUGCCGUACAAUGUGCACGACAUUCCGCUGCUGCUGCGCGGCUACGCGGCGCUGUCGGGGGAGAGCCAGCUGCAGCAGCAGGUGCUGCGCGGAUUCGUCUCGCGCACCAUGCGCGCUGCCCCGACGCUGACACCGGACGAAAUCGUCCUGUGCGUUGAGGCCUACUGCGCAGGUGGCGUAUAUCAUCAGCAGCUCUACGGCGUCCUGCUCGGUCGAGUCGCUGACAUGGGGCGCAAGUUCUCGUUGGAGCUCUCGGUGCGUCUGCUGCGUUGCGGUACGCAGGCCGGUAACGCGAGCGUGCGCACAGUGUGCGUGACGGCGGUGCAGCCGAUCUUCUCUGCGCAGGUGCGCGGGCUGCUGCAGAACGACCCGCACAUGCUCGUAUCGGUCGCCUCCACUGCCCUGGCCAUCCUCCACUGCCUGCGGGACUGCUUCCCGCACGAUGACAUCGGCGCUGCCGUACUCGCCAACGUCGCGCGCUACCACCACGACGCGAGCCUGCCAGUGGUGAAGGCCGCCUUGGAGCUGGCGGAGCGACGCGGCUCGACGGACUACGACGUCGUGCACAUCCUUGCUCGGCACUGCACGGAGCGAGUGCUGCCCGCCUGCUCCCCCGCGGAGCUGGCAAAUGUAUCGUACCUGCUGAUCGCGUGCGGGCUGCGCACGGCAGCGGUGAUGGAGGCUACGUACAGGCGUCUCAGCGAGGUGGUGCAUACCAUGCAAGCGCACAGCCUCACUCGACUGGCGCAAGGGCUGCUGCGCGCUUCUGUGGAGGUCGACACGACGGUCAUGGAGAAUGUGUGCAAGCGUAUCGUGGAGCUGGCCGAGGAGAGCGCCAUGGAGGCCACCGGUGAUGCUGCCGCCGCUGCCCCUCUGACAACGCAGCAGGUGUGCGUGCUGCUUCAGCUGCUGCGCAGCGUCGCCGGUCGUGUCAUGACGACCGUCAUGACGACGGUGGACGCCCUUCUCUCCUAUGUGCAGCGAGUGGUUCUGCAGGAACGGCGCGAUGGCGAGCCCCUCCAUGGUGACCAGCCGUCGUCGUACCAGCCACCGCGGCUCCUGGCAGGGAUGACCCUACGCGAAGUGGAAGCCGUCCUCCGCUGCUGCAUCGAUCUCUCAAGCAUGCCGAAGCGAUUCCAGCGACUCACCUACAGCCUCGCCGACUACACAGCCUACGUAAUGGCGCAGGACGCCUCGUCGCUUGCCGCUUCUGGGGGGGGCAGCGAAGGCCGCCUCCCGAACUCGACGGCAGACCGCCUGCUCAACGACGCACUGGUGUCGACCUCCUCGGCGUCGACGCGGUCCAUCGGUGCCGCGUCCCUCUCCGCUACGCCCGCGUGGCCAACAGAUCUGAUCCUCUUGGUCGACCUUAGUAGUCUCUUCAUCCGCCUUGGGGAGGCCGCACAUCCGGUCGUCCAGCAGCUCUUCGAGCGACAAUACGAUCGCCGCGGCGUCCUGCUCCAGCGCGCGCUGCUCGUUAAGACGACGAAGCAGUCGCUCGAGGCUGCUGGGCGUGACGUGCAUCCAGCGCUGUACAAGCUCGUCGUCGAUGGAGAGCUGCUGUGACGCGGUGGCCCACUGGCAGCAGCUAUCAAGCCUUACCUAUCCCCACCCCGUCCAUGCAUGUCUCCCUCUUCGCCUGUUCCCUCGUUGCUCGUAUUUGUUCGGCAUCCGUCUGCCUGUGUCUUAUAACGUGAGCUGGGAGGCCUCCAUCUGGGCGUGCAUGUGUGCACGGGUCUUGUGUGGCCCUCACUCUUCUCUGUUCUCCCCAUCACAGAAGCAGCCCCUACUCGACUGGCAUGGUCAUCGCUGUCGGCCAUCACGCAGGUGCGAACGCAUGCACUUGGGCCUGUGGAGUUGGGCCGUCGUCGGCCACAACGACUGGUGAACGACGGGCAGCGGUCUUGUUCGUGUGGCGAAGGCACGCUCCGUGUCCGUCUACGCGGGUGUAGGCAGGUUACCGGCCCAUGUGCGCGUCGUUGAAGGAAGAGCCGCACGUCGGAAGCAACCCUCGGCGCCCCUCUCUCGCACGCGUAGGCCGAUGCAUGUCCUCGUGCCGGUGUCUCUCACCCCCCCCUAAUCGUUUACCUUCGCUCUCUAGCCUGUACUCGCCGGAGGUAAGCAGCCGUGUCAGGCGACGCAGCGGCGGCGGUGGCGAACACCAUCGAGAGCCACGCUCGAAGCGGCACCCACUGAGCGCUUGUGGCGUCCUGCGCAGCAUCUGCCCGGCCUCUCCUCUCACCAUCGCUCACCACCACUGCCCGUCCUCUGAUGUCGCCUGUACCCCCCCGUCUCCUUCGCAUCUCUCAAAG
rnacentral:misc_RNA from 1 species